GGGAAAAACUCACGCCUCCUCCCUCCCUUCAUCAGAUCUGAGAUUGGUGAAGAACUGCCGCCGUCAGUUCCCAUCCAAAAGCAAGUGACGACCUCCUUUACGCCGGCGAUCUUCAGAGCGCCACCUUCUCUCCCCCUGCUCCCCCUCUCGCCGCCGUCCGAUCUUGCCAUCACCUCUGCGACCUCGACCCUCUCUCCACGAACGUCCAGGUUAGGAGUCAACACUCUUUCUCUCUACCCACACCAGCGGCCAUGGCGCUCCUGCGGUAUCCAGCGACGAAUUCUACCUCUCCUUCGUGAACAACCGGCCUUUUUGGGCAUCCUACCAAAUAGAUAGUUCAUACAAGGGCGAUUCUGCAGGUUAAUGAAGUUGGGCUUAAUUAUCUGUUAGACUGCUAUUUUGAUGAAGUUUUAUUACUGUCCGAAAUUCCAACUGAUGGAACAAGGUACCUAACCUCCACCAGAUUUAUCCCCCUGUCGCGAACUCUGAUUAUGUGAUGCAUUGCAUGCUGUGUUACAAUUUUUUUGAUUUAAUUUGGCUGUGCAUCAAUUCUUAGCUGAUGAUGAUGUACACCAAUGGGUGGCAAGGUUUGUCACUCUUCCCUUCUAUUCGAUAUACAUAUGGACAUGCUUCGCAUACUAAACUUCACAUAUUCUACCACACCCUCUUUAUUAAUUAAGAUCUUUUUUUUGCGAAUAUUAUUAAUUAAGAUCUUUAACUAAUACCACUGAAUCUCAAAGCAUGUCUUCAUAGUGUCUAAUCUUCUUUUCAUGUAGAUGCGUGAUGCGCAAACAGGAAGCUACAAUAUCAAAGUGAAGAGAUGGUCCUCUUUUGUUAUGGAUUCUUCCUAUAAUAAUAAUAAUAUAUACAUACUCCGGUUGUGCUACUUCUGUGUUAAUGCUUGGUUGUUGAGCGUGGGAAUAAAUGAAUAUCUAUGAAGUUCCAUUUUUGUGAUGAUCCAGUUAUCCUGUUUAGCCAGUGCAGGAUAUGUUGAUGAUUUGAUAUGAGCCUAUUUGAACUUGUCUCUAUUUGGCAAACGACAGUUAUCAGGAAUCACUAGUUUCUUGAAAAUGAGCUCAUGCAUAUUCAACACAAUAUUUACUCUUCAUAUGUGGAUACUGAUGUACAUUGUGAAUUUCUCUUAUUGGUGCGCCUAUCAAAAAGUGGGACUAACUAUCCAGUUAAUCUAUUUCUAUUUGGUUUGACUUUCUGUACAGGUUAAUCGUCUCCGAUGAUUUUUGAAGCUGGACAAUAAAACUGUCAUGGAAAUCUGAGAAGUUAAGAUGGUUUGACGUGCGAGCUCAUGUGCUAAGCUUAUAGGUAGAUAGAUGUCAACUAGGUAGACAAUGCAUUUAGGACAUAAGGGAUUUUGUUCGGUCCAUUCUGAGAUUCCUUUUGUAAUAGAUCUAUAGUUCGAUUGUAAAAUACUUGCUCUUAAAAAUAAAGUUAUUUUUCCUAAUA